rnacentral:rRNA from 1 species
GAUGAACGCUGGCGGCGUGCCUAAUACAUGCAAGUCGAGCGAACGAACGAGAAGCUUGCUUCUCUGAUGUUAGCGGCGGACGGGUGAGUAACACGUGGAUAACCUACCUAUAAGACUGGGAUAACUUCGGGAAACCGGAGCUAAUACCGGAUAAUAUUUUGAACCGCAUGGUUCAAAAGUGAAAGACGGUCUUGCUGUCACUUAUAGAUGGAUCCGCGCUGCAUUAGCUAGUUGGUAAGGUAACGGCUUACCAAGGCAACGAUGCAUAGCCGACCUGAGAGGGUGAUCGGCCACCCUGGAACUGAGACACGGUCCAGACUCCUACGGGAGGCAGCAGUAGGGAAUCUUCCGCAAUGGGCGAAAGCCUGACGGAGCAACGCCGCGUGAGUGAUGAAGGUCUUCGGAUCGUAAAACUCUGUUAUUAGGGAAGAACAUAUGUGUAAGUAACUGUGCACAUCUUGACGGUACCUAAUCAGAAAGCCACGGCUAACUACGUG